UAUGUAGUAGUACAUUGACUUUCGUUUGAAAGUUUCUAUUGGCCAACUUCUGCGGCCAUAUUGUAAGCGACACUUGAAGUUAAUAUUCGAUCGAAGUACAUUGGUUCAGUCAACUUUAUCAUAGUGACCAUUUUCUGUAAACAAAAUAGUAGAAUCGACAAAAGAGAUGAUGAAGUUACGCGAACCACGUCGUAUCAUAAAUGCAAUCAAAGGUUUAUUAAAUAUUGUCUUUUAUCGAAACGAGAAAGACCGAUUGAUUUAUCGCAAUUUCUAUAAUUUUCGAAGACUUGGAAAAAACAGGGUAAAAUCGUGAGAUACGAAGUAACAGAGCGCAAAAAUGCAGCGUGCCACUGAAAAGGUUAAGAGGAAUUCUUUGUUAUCGAUCUAUCGAUAAACAAUAGUAAGUUCUCGACACCAGUGAUGAUCUCUGAUGGAACUCUUUUCACAAAAUAUAGUGAUAUUUUGUGAAAUCCCCAAAAUUAUAAUAGUAUCUUAGUGAUAAUAGUUUUAGUAACAAUUAUUUUUUCAUGUAAGUAGUAUUUAACGUGCGUAGUGAUUAACAAAGUUGUCAUUAGUUAAUUUAAAAUAAAGCUAUUGCUAUAUAUAUUUACUAUAAUGAACAAAUAUAGUACUAAUAACUUUAUAGUUGUUACUAAUGGAAACAAAGUGCUACGUUUUUUCGUAAUCCAAGAUAAAGAAACACAGUACUACGUUAGUAAAACGGAUACUGUGCGUUCCUAAUUGCUUACAAAUCUAACUGAAGCAGUUCUAGAACAUAGUCUAUUAAGACUAUUUUCAAACAUCUAAUAUUUAAAAUAAAAGAAAUUAACUUGUAAUCAAAUGUCACCAGGUGUCGAGAUCCACAAAGAAAGAGAAAUAGUUUGAGAAACAGAAGCGGCCAAACAAUAGCUCGUGCGCACGCGCGCUAUCAUAGAAGUGUUCUAUGGCUGUGUGUGUGCAUUAGGGGAGAUUCAUACGUGACUAGAGGAUGUCGCAGACGCAUAAAUCAGCGAGAAAAAGGGGAAAUAGGGACCUGUCGAUAUGUACCACUAGUAAAAAAAAUCCCUAACCUUUCCAUUGCUUAAGAUCUCUGAUUGAGUCAGAAGGAAAAUGAAAAGGCUAGGAAAGAUUAGCAAUACCAACUUAUAAAAUAAAAAUAGAAGACAAAAGGGGUAGAAAGAAUGCGUGUAAAACGAAAAGCGUGUGAAAGAAACAGAGAGAAAGAGAUAGUAUUAGACAGAGAUAGAAAUUCUGUAUGUAUGUAUGUCUGUGUAAAAGUAUGCCUGUAUGUAUAUGUUAUAUGUAUAUGUGUGCGAACAUAGAGUAAAAACAGUUACAGUAGACAGUUACAGACAGACAGACAGACAGACAGACAGACAGACAGACAGAUAGAAAUAAGAUAAAGAUCUAGCGAAAGUGUGAAAGAUAGAGCAGAGAGGAGCGCUUACAGCUUGGUCUGUCGAACUCUUGCUGUAGGGUACUGGUAUCAAACGUUCCUGCAACUCGCCACCUAUUACCUUCAAGAGUAAAGGAUAAUAUCAUGGUUAUAACUGGAUACAACGAGCAGUCAAUGCACUUAACAGUACACCAUUUCUCGAAAUAUUGGUGUACUAAAAAAAGUAAUUCUUUUUUAACAUUCCUGAACCUUUGUCCCGGUAUUGAAUAACACCACGCUCUCUGCCUGUAGGCACCUUUUAACUGAUGAAAUUAUCUCUUUGAAAUUUCCCUAGGAAUAAAUCCAAAGCUAUAUUUAUAAUUACCAUCCCUCAUGGAAAUUUUGUUUAGCAGAUUAUACGAGAAACGAUUGAACUGGCCUCCAGGGAUACCAAUUUAUUAUUUUAGAAACUACUUUGUUUGGUGUUUUGUAAGGAGUAUUUACAGCAGAAACAGAUAUUUAGAGAUAGUGAAGCUAAAAAGUGCCUGAUCAUCAAUAACUAUUGAGAAAGAAGUACACUUAAAAGUGGUAACCUGCUGGUUAUGUAUAAUCAUUAUGUAUAUGUUAUUCGCGUGAGUAUCAUUGGAUGUGUAAAACUCGCGGCACUCGAUCGCACGAAGUAUAUGGAAAAAGGAAAUAAAAAAGAUAACAGAGAUUCAUAAGUGGAAACCGAGAAUAGCUCAUACAUGCAACGUAAGAUAUAACAUCCUUGAAGAUAUACACCCUCGUACGAUAUGUUUUCUAUUUAUCAUUUCUAAACGAAAACUGUUGUAAGAAAUGCCUAGCAAUGUAUGUAUUUCCCUUGUUCCAUUGUUUGUUGAUAUUAACUUAACUUAGGUGAAAAUCCUACGACGAGUGAAUCCUAUUACAGUGUCAAAUUAAUUAAUUAACCCAGUGAGAGACGAGUUUCAUAGAUUCCACUUAUCUCUGCACUUCGAACUUCUCGAGACCUACCCAGUGAGUUACAAAGACACACAUAUAUAACAAUGAUCUUUAUUACAUGAAGUAAUAAUAUUCUGUAUAACGUCACGAAAUGGUAAAAGUCUAGGACAAUGAGUGAGUAGAAUAAAUCCGAGAUUAGAGUUUAGAAAGUUCCGUAGAGACUCAAUCUCAAUAUAGUAGAGUACUGCUCAUCUAGUUGUAUGCAUCCCAAUAGAGUACCGCGUGUUUAGUUGAGUAUAUAGAACACCGCGACGUUCAAUAACAAAGUAGUCUACAGUAGAAUAAUCAAUGACUGGCACAGUACCAGCUAGUAGUAAGAAGUAGUAGUCAGAUGGACCGCAGUGAAAUAUUAACUUUAACUUCGUUUUGGAGUGCAUCAAAUCCGUCACUUUUUUUAAUAAUGUAUGAUACUUUUUGGUGAGUAGAAUUUAUUCAUAUAGAAGUUAUUCAUAUAGAGUUCCGUUUUCAAGAAAAACUGAGAUUGUAUAUCUGUUAAGUUUGCGUGUAUUCCACUAACCGUAGUCUAGAAUUACUUUACCCAGUUACUAGCUAGCUACGGUUACCUCCAUUUGUGUUUACAAACAAUAUCAAUCAGGAUUUUGUUUAUAUAUCUCUCAAAACAAUGAUAUCCGCGUCUUAGAACUGAGAAUUUUUAAUUCUACUCUCUAAAAAAGCUUAUCAUAUGUUGUGAAAAAGGAUCACAAAUUCGGUAUGUCCCAAAACGUUCAGCCAAAUAUUCUAUAUUAGAGUUCAUGUACAUUAGUGUCUUAAGGCCAUCGAAGAGUAACCUCAAUUACAGUGCUGUCCACCAGUAGCAGGACUUCUAAUAUACCUUCAAAUGAUUUAUAUUUAUAUAACAUCCUUUGUUUGAUUAUAUCCAUAGAGAGUACCGACAAGGUUUGGCUGUUAAACCUGGGGAUGCCUCAGAUAUGUCUAUGUAUAACAAAUUCCUCUAUCAUUAUAAUAUAUAAUUUCUAUAAGAUAUAAUUUUUCAAACUUUUUCAACUUGCGAAUAAAGUUUUGACACCGUUACUUUAAUUUAAUGCUCACACUCUGAAACAAAGGUAUUUCUCUCCUUCCUGGGGAAUUUUACACCGCAAGCGGCUCAGUUACGUGUUACGCCAUAAAGGUGGGGGGUGACUACUCGAAAAUGACCUUGAAGAACCAACAUUUGAGAACUCUAGGAUAGAAUUAAUUAGACGUAUCUUAGCGAUACGUUUAAUAACUGAUCUGCUGUGCAGGAUUCCAUCGACUGAUUUUUUCUUCUUUUUAUUGUAUUACAAAGUGCAAAAGCAUUAGUACGGUCUUUGAAAAUAAAAUCAGGCUCUGGAAUCCCCGUAAAAUCAAUCGAUUUACGAGCGAGAGUGGUGACUUACGAAACAUACGAACAGAAAUGUUAGGUGAGCGUGAGGAAAAAUAGAAUAAAGUGAAAGCUGAUGUGCCUUGGUUCACAGCCGGAAACAGUGCUCUUGUGUACCUUUCCGGAAAUGUAUUUGUUUCGAAGCUUCACAUGGCAUUGGUGAUACAACCAUUAUUUUUUCAAUGCGAAUAGAGAGAUUGACAAUUGGGAAAAAUAUAUGUUCUUAUUAUGUCAGACGGAGAAAGCAGAAAUUUAUUUUCAUUAAAUGAGCCUGCAUUGACAAGCUCGCAACUUAUUUCUUUUUCUAUCGUUGAGAAAAAUCUCUGAGGAGAAGAUGGACAUUAGAAGCAGUUGAGUACUUUGCACUUUUCAUUUCCUCGACCGUGAAGGAACAUCGCGUGUUCGUGCAGCAGAAUACGGUUUAACGCAAGCAAUGCAUAGAAACCACAGAAAUGCUUUUUUCAGUGUGAGCAUACAGUGGACAAUCUUAAGUAAUUUUCUCAUCUUAUACUUAAUAAAACGCAACCUUUUCAGGCACUCAUCUUCAUUUCAAAUUCUCUUAAUUUCUCUACAUUCAUCCUUGAUCUCUCACAUAAUGAGAUAGUUAAGGAAAUGCAGUGCCUAAGAAGUUAAUCAGAAUGCAGACUUUCAUACUUCUUUGGUCUGAAAGAUUCAGAUCAAAAACAAGGCUCGAUAUAGACAAAGUGGACUCAUGUUGAAUUGUAGAGUUUUACAAAGUGCAAGCAGAUACAGUGUAAGUUACAAUACCAAUAAGAA